UACGGUAGGGGGCAAGCGUUGUCCGGAUUUAUUGGGCGUAAAGAGCGUGUAGGCGGUUAGGUAGGUCCGUUGUGAAAACUCGAGGCUCAACCCUCGAGACGCCGAUGGAAACCAUCUAACUAGAGUCCGGAAGAGGAGAGUGGAAUUCCGUGGUGUAGCGGUGAAAUGCGACAGAUAUCAGGAAGAACACCCGCUGGCUAAAGGCGGCUCUCUAGUACGGUACUGACGCUGAGACGCGAAAGCGUGGGGAGCGAACAGG
rnacentral:rRNA from 1 species